rnacentral:snoRNA from 1 species
CCUUUAGCGCUUGGGCAAGAGUUGCUGUGUACAUUUCCAGCCUGCUAACUCUAAUCCGCUGAAGGUAGAUCAAAUCGUUCAUUCUUAUCUGCCGUUGACUCUGCACUAUUCCUCCAUUACAUAAGUGAGCAUUGCAGAUCGCACGAGAGUGAAUACACUU